UAAUGCUAUGGGAAGAUCCUUUGGGGGGUUCUACAGAGGGCAGGACUUGGCUCUGUGUCUUGUUCCUAAAGGAAGUCUCUCUAUUGCAGUUUAUUCUGAAUACUUAAACACUAACAGUGAUUCUUGAAGCACUAUCUCUGAAACCAUUAACACUUGUAGCCAAUGCAUUUACCAAGUGUGCCAAACUGAAUGCACGUUCUCUGCUUUACACUUUUUGUAAUUUUAUAACACACUUUUUGCAAAACUGUAAACACAACUCACUGUUUUAUACUCAGUUUGCAAUUUAAUAACAUACUUCUAGCAAAACUGUAAACAUUGGUCUCUACAUUGCUACACUAUUUCGCCAAUUGCCUUUCCACAUUGACACAUGUUAAAACACUUUCAGAUAAUGAGUUACAAAUCAGAGCUUACAAAUCAGAGCUUGAGCACUAUAAAUAGGCCACAGGUAAACAUUUGGUUUGAACAACAAUGGAGGCCAAUACUGGACAGAGAGUAAGAGGGGUGAAAACUAGAGGAGGAUGAAGAGGACGAGGAGGUGAGUAAGUAAGAGGAGGAGGAGGAGAAGGAAGGGGUGAAGUAGGAUGGGCAGAAGGAGACGACGGGGAAGAGGAAGGGAAGUCAGGAACACAAUAACUGAUGAAAUCAGAGCGACUGUGGUUGACCAUGUUGUCAGCCAUGGGAUGAGCAUGAGGGAGGCUGGGCAAUGGGUUCAACCAAAUCUGAGCCGCUAUACUGUUGCAGGUAUCAUCCGGAUAUGUUGAAAUGAGAACCGAACUGCAAGAAAACCAGUACCUGGUGGAAGAGGUCGACAGAGCAGGAGACCCACAUUGUAAAGAUGGUCAUUGCAAAUAACUGCAUCAGACUAAGAGAGCUACAGGACCCCAUAAUGGCAGAUAACACGAUAUUCCAAAACGUCAACAGAGUGAGUCUCGCUGCACUGUCUCGUCUACUGAAACGCAAUAGAAUUAGGAUGAAGCAGCUGUACAGAGUCCCUUUCGAAAGAAACUCAGACAGUGUAAAACAACUGAGAUAUGAAUAUGUGCAGAGAGUCAUGGAGCUAGAAGCAGAUGCAGUGCAUCAUGAGCUAAUAUAUGUGGACGAGGCAGGUUUCAACCUUGCAAAAACAAGGGGCCGCGGCAGAAAUAUCAUCGGACACCGUGCCAUCAUCAACUUGGACAACUUGGUGGCAACAUAACAAUGUGUACAGCUAUUAGUCAAAACGGCGUCCUUCACCAUCAUGCAAUCCUAGGCCCAUACAACACUGCACACAUUAUCACAUUUCUGGACCCCCUCCACAACAGACUGAUCCCUAAUGACCAGGGGCCAGAGCAGCCCAGGUACGUUAUCAAAAAACUAUUCUGUUCUUUUUUGUUUCUAGCACAAAUGUUUUUGUUUUCUUCUACUGCACUUUUGUUGUUUGAGUGUUUGGAGAAAAAAAAAAAAAAA